UACGGAGAGUGCAAACGUUGUUCGGAUUCACUGGGCGUAAAGGGCACGUAGGCGGCUUGGCAAAUCGGUCGUGGAAUCCCGACGCUUACCGUCGGAACGGCGGCCGAAAAUACCGAGCUCGAGGGCGUGAGGGGUCACUGGAACUCCUGGUGAAGCGGUGAAAUGCGUAGAUAUCAGGAGGAACGCCGGAGGCGAAAGCGAGUGACUGGCGCGUUCCUGACGCUGAGGCGCGAAAGCUAGGGGAGCAAACAGG
rnacentral:rRNA from 1 species